rnacentral:rRNA from 1 species
UACAGAGGUCCCAAGCGUUGUUCGGAUUCAUUGGGCGUAAAGGGUGCGUAGGCGGCUCGGUAAGUCGGGUGUGAAAUCUCGGGGCUUAACUCCGAAACUGCAUUCGAUACUGCCGUGCUUGAGGACUGGAGAGGAGACUGGAAUUUACGGUGUAGCGGUGAAAUGCGUAGAUAUCGUAAGGAAGACCAGUGGCGAGGGCGGGUCUCUGGACAGUUCCUGACGCUGAGGCACGAAGGCCAGGGGAGCAAACGGG